rnacentral:rRNA from 1 species
UUGAAGAGUUUGAUCAUGGCUCAGAUUGAACGCUGGCGGCAGGCCUAACACAUGCAAGUCGAACGGUAACAGGAAGCAGCUUGCUGCUUUGCUGACGAGUGGCGGACGGGUGAGUAAUGUCUGGGAAACUGCCUGAUGGAGGGGGAUAACUACUGGAAACGGUAGCUAAUACCGCAUAACGUCGCAAGACCAAAGAGGGGGACCUUCGGGCCUCUUGCCAUCGGAUGUGCCCAGAUGGGAUUAGCUUGUUGGUGGGGUAACGGCUCACCAAGGCGACGAUCCCUAGCUGGUCUGAGAGGAUGACCAGCCACACUGGAACUGAGACACGGUCCAGACUCCUACGGGAGGCAGCAGUGGGGAAUAUUGCACAAUGGGCGCAAGCCUGAUGCAGCCAUGCCGCGUGUAUGAAGAAGGCCUUCGGGUUGUAAAGUACUUUCAGCGGGGAGGAAGGGAGUAAAGUUAAUACCUUUGCUCAUUGACGUUACCCGCAGAAGAAGCACCGGCUAACUCCGUGCCAGCAGCCGCGGUAAUACGGAGGGUGCAAGCGUUAAUCGGAAUUACUGGGCGUAAAGCGCACGCAGGCGGUUUGUUAAGUCAGAUGUGAAAUCCCCGGGCUCAACCUGGGAACUGCAUCUGAUACUGGCAAGCUUGAGUCUCGUAGAGGGGGGUAGAAUUCCAGGUGUAGCGGUGAAAUGCGUAGAGAUCUGGAGGAAUACCGGUGGCGAAGGCGGCCCCCUGGACGAAGACUGACGCUCAGGUGCGAAAGCGUGGGGAGCAAACAGGAUUAGAUACCCUGGUAGUCCACGCCGUAAACGAUGUCGACUUGGAGGUUGUGCCCUUGAGGCGUGGCUUCCGGAGCUAACGCGUUAAGUCGACCGCCUGGGGAGUACGGCCGCAAGGUUAAAACUCAAAUGAAUUGACGGGGGCCCGCACAAGCGGUGGAGCAUGUGGUUUAAUUCGAUGCAACGCGAAGAACCUUACCUGGUCUUGACAUCCACGGAAGUUUUCAGAGAUGAGAAUGUGCCUUCGGGAACUGUGAGACAGGUGCUGCAUGGCUGUCGUCAGCUCGUGUUGUGAAAUGUUGGGUUAAGUCCCGCAACGAGCGCAACCCUUAUCCUUUGUUGCCAGCGGUCCGGCCGGGAACUCAAAGGAGACUGCCAGUGAUAAACUGGAGGAAGGUGGGGAUGACGUCAAGUCAUCAUGGCCCUUACGACCAGGGCUACACACGUGCUACAAUGGCGCAUACAAAGAGAAGCGACCUCGCGAGAGCAAGCGGACCUCAUAAAGUGCGUCGUAGUCCGGAUUGGAGUCUGCAACUCGACUCCAUGAAGUCGGAAUCGCUAGUAAUCGUGGAUCAGAAUGCCACGGUGAAUACGUUCCCGGGCCUUGUACACACCGCCCGUCACACCAUGGGAGUGGGUUGCAAAAGAAGUAGGUAGCUUAACCUUCGGGAGGGCGCUUACCACUUUGUGAUUCAUGACUGGGGUGAAGUCGUAACAAGGUAACCGUAGGGGAACCUGCGGUUGGAUCACCUCCUU